rnacentral:rRNA from 1 species
AGGCUUUGAUCCUGGCUCAGAUUGAACGCUGGCGGCAUGCUUUACACAUGCAAGUCGAACGGUAACAGGUCUUCGGAUGCUGACGAGUGGCGAACGGGUGAGUAAUGCAUCGGAACGUGCCCAGUCGUGGGGGAUAACGCAGCGAAAGCUGUGCUAAUACCGCAUACGAUCUGCGGAUGAAAGCGGGGGACCUUCGGGCCUCGCGCGAUUGGAGCGGCCGAUGUCAGAUUAGGUAGUUGGUGGGGUAAAGGCUCACCAAGCCAACGAUCUGUAGCUGGUCUGAGAGGACGACCAGCCACACUGGGACUGAGACACGGCCCAGACUCCUACGGGAGGCAGCAGUGGGGAAUUUUGGACAAUGGGCGCAAGCCUGAUCCAGCAAUGCCGCGUGCAGGAAGAAGGCCUUCGGGUUGUAAACUGCUUUUGUACGGAACGAAAAGCUCUGGGUUAAUACCCUGGGGUCAUGACGGUACCGUAAGAAUAAGCACCGGCGUAAAU